CUCCUUAUAUUGCAAGACAUGCUUUAAUUACCUUGAGAUGAGUUCUAUAAAGGCUGUCUUAUCUCAAACCUUGAGUCUUAUGAAAAUGAGCUGAAACUUAUAGAAAAUAUAUUUUUGAGAUUGAUAAUUUUAUUGAACAUUAUCUUCAAAUUCUAAACUCUUAAAUGGAAUGAUCAAUAGAGGGAGAGAAAGAAAAUUUCAGAAGGAGAGGUCUCACGGAACUUAAUCGCGUAUAUCUAUAACUAAAGGAGAGAGAAACAAUACAAAAUGAAAAAUGAUCCUAAUACUCUCCAAUAUGUAUCAUCUGAAAUUUAAUCUGAAAAUCUUUAUGAUACACCUUGAGGCGUGUUAUUUGGUUAGUAUAUCUUAUGCAUAAAUCAUGAACCAAAUUGC
rnacentral:lncRNA from 1 species